rnacentral:rRNA from 1 species
CCCUUAGAUGUUCUGGGCCGCACGCGUGCUACACUGACGAAGGCAACGAGCUUUCCUUUACCGAAAGGUACGGGUAAUCUUUUGAAACUUCGUCGUGCUGGGGAUAGAUCCUUGCAAUUUUUGAUCUUAAACGAGGAAUGCCUAGUAAGCGCAAGUCAUCAACUUGCGUUGAUUACGUCCCUGCCCUUUGUACACACCGCCCGUCGCACCUACCGAUUGGAUGGUCCGGUGAAGCCUCGGGAUUGUGGUUCUUGCCGCUUUAUUGUGGCGUGACCGCGAGAACUUGUCUAAACCUUAUCAUCUAGAGGAAGGUGAAGUCGUAACA